rnacentral:rRNA from 1 species
AAUAGAUACCCCGGUAGUCCACGCCGUAAACGAUGAGUGCUAAGUGUUAGAGGGUUUCCGCCCUUUAGUGCUGCAGCUAACGCAUUAAGCACUCCGCCUGGGGAGUACGGUCGCAAGACUGAAACUCAAAGGAAUUGACGGGGGCCCGCACAAGCGGUGGAGCAUGUGGUUUAAUUCGAAGCAACGCGAAGAACCUUACCAGGUCUUGACAUCCCACUGACCGGUAUAGAGAUAUACCUUUCCCUUCGGGGACAGUGGUGACAGGUGGUGCAUGGUUGUCGUCAGCUCGUGUCGUGAGAUGUUGAGUUAAGUCCCGCAACGAGCGCAACCCUUGAUCUUAGUUGCCAGCAUUUAGUUGGGCACUCUAAGGUGACUGCCGGUGACAAACCGGAGGAAGGUGGGGAUGACGUCAAAUCAUCAUGCCCCUUAUGACCUGGGCUACACACGUGCUACAAUGGAUGGUACAAAGGGCUGCAAGACUGCGAAGUCAAGCCAAUCCCAUAAAACCAUUCUCAGUUCGGAUUGC